rnacentral:rRNA from 1 species
UACGUGGGGUGCAAGCGUUGUCCGGAAUUAUUGGGCGUAAAGAGCUUGUAGGCGGUUUGUCACGUCUGCUGUGAAAUUUCGGGGCUCAACCCCGAACUUGCAGUGGGUACGGGCAGACUAGAGUGUGGUAGGGGAGACUGGAAUUCCUGGUGUAGCGGUGAAAUGCGCAGAUAUCAGGAGGAACACCGAUGGCGAAGGCAGGUCUCUGGGCCACUACUGACGCUGAGAAGCGAAAGCAUGGGGAGCGAACAGG